CUGAUUCAAUAAGCGGAGGAAAAGAAACCAACAGGGAUUGCCCCAGUAACGGCGAGUGAAGCGGCAACAGCUCAAAUUUGAAAACUGGCUCUCAGGGCCCGAGUUGUAAUUUGUAGAGGAUGCUUUUGGCGAGGUGCCUUCCGAGUUCCCUGGAACGGGACGCCACAGAGGGUGAGAGCCCCGUAUGGUCGGACACCGAGCCUCUGUAAAGCUCCUUCGACGAGUCGAGUAGUUUGGGAAUGCUGCUCAAAAUGGGAGGUAUAUGUCUUCUAAAGCUAAAUAUUGGCCAGAGACCGAUAGCGCACAAGUAGAGUGAUCGAAAGAUGAAAAGCACUUUGAAAAGAGGGUUAAAAAGUACGUGAAAUUGUUGAAAGGGAAGCGCCUAUGACCAGACUUGCGCCCGGUGAAUCACCCAGCGUUCUCGCUGGUGCACUUUGCCGGGCACAGGCCAGCAUCAGUUCAGCGCGGGGGAGAAAGGCUUCGGGAAUGUGGCUCCCUCGGGAGUGUUAUAGCCCGCUGCGUAAUGCCCUGCGCCGGACUGAGGUACGCGCAUUGCAAGGAUGCUGGCGUAAUGGUCAUCAGCGACCCGUCUUGAAACACGGACCAAGGAGUCGUCUUCGUAUGCGAGUGUUCGGGUGUCAAACCCCUACGCGUAAUGAAAGUGAACGUAGGUGAGAGCUUCGGCGCAUCACCGACCGAUCCUGAUGUUCUCGGAUGGAUUUGAGUAAGAGCAUACGGGGCCGGACCCGAAAGAAGGUGAACUAUGCCUGUAUAGGGUGAAGCCAGAGGAAACUCUGGUGGAGGCUCGCAGCGGUUCUGACGUGCGAAUCGAUCGUCAAAUAUGGGCAUGGGGGCGAAAGACUAAUCGAACCUUCUAGUAGCUGGUUUCCGCCGAAGUUUCCCUCAGGAUAGCAGUGUUGAACUCAGUUUUAUGAGGUAAAGCGAAUGAUUAGGGACUCGGGGGCGCUAUAUUGCCUUCAUCCAUUCUCAAACUUUAAAUAUGUAAGAAGCCCUUGUUACUUGAUUGAACGUGGGCAUUCGAAUGUAUCAACACUAGUGGGCCAUUUUUGGUAAGCAGAACUGGCGAUGCGGGAUGAACCGAACGCGAGGUUAAGGUGCCGGAGUGGACGCUCAUCAGACACCACAAAAGGUGUUAGUACAUCUUGACAGCAGGACGGUGGCCAUGGAAGUCGGAAUCCGCUAAGGACUGUGUAACAACUCACCUGCCGAAUGUACUAGCCCUGAAAAUGGAUGGCGCUCAAGCGUUCCACCCAUACCUCGCCCUCAGGGUAGGAACGAAGCCCUGAGGAGUAGGCGGACGUGGAGGUCAGUGACGAAGCCUAGGGCGUGAGCCCGGGUCGAACGGCCUCUAGUGAAU
rnacentral:rRNA from 1 species